UACGUAGGGGGGCUAGCGUUGUCCGGAAUCACUGGGCGUAAAGCGCACGUAGGCGGCUUACUAAGUCAGGGGUGAAAUCCUGGAGCUCAACUCCAGAACUGCCUUUGAUACUGGUGAGCUUGAGUCCGGAAGAGGUGAGUGGAACUGCGAGUGUAGAGGUGAAAUUCGUAGAUAUUCGCAAGAACACCAGUGGCGAAGGCGGCUCACUGGUCCGGUACUGACGCUGAGGUGCGAAAGCGUGGGGAGCAAACAGG
rnacentral:rRNA from 1 species